rnacentral:rRNA from 1 species
UACGUAGGGGGCAAGCGUUGUCCGGAUUUAUUGGGCGUAAAGAGCGUGUAGGCGGUCAGGUAGGUCCGUUGUGAAAACUCGAGGCUCAACCUCGAGACGCCGAUGGAAACCAUCUGGCUAGAGUCCGGAAGAGGAGAGUGGAAUUCCUGGUGUAGCGGUGAAAUGCGCAGAUAUCAGGAAGAACACCCGUGGCUAAGGCGGCUCUCUAGUACGGUACUGACGCUGAGACGCGAAAGCGUGGGGAGCGAACAGG